rnacentral:rRNA from 1 species
CCAGUUGGCGAAGGCGACUCUCUGGUCUGUAACUGACGCUCAGGAGCGAAAGCGUGGGGAGCGAACAGGAUUAGAUACCCUGGUAGUCCACGCCGUAAACGAUGACUGCUUAGUGUUAGUGGGUUUCCGCCCCUUAUUGCUGCACCUAACCCAUUAAUCACUCCCCCUGGGAAUUACGGUCCCAAGACUGAAACUCAAUGGAUUUGACGGGGGCCCGCACAACCGUUGAACCAUGUGUUUUAAUUCAUACCAACCCAAAAAACCUUACCACGUCUUGACUUCCUCUGACUUCCCUAAAAAUCUUUCUUUCCCUUCGGAAACCUAAUGACAGGUCUUGCAUGGUUGUCUUCACCUCUUGUCUUGAGAUGUUGGGUUAAUUCCCGCACCAACCGCAACCCUAGAUCUUAUUUGCCAGCAUUCAGUUGGGCACUCUAAGGUGACUGCCGGUGACAAAC